GUUCAGAUCACCUGCAUCCCCCGUUUGACUAAUUUGGAUGUGAAGCUGGAGCGUUCGCUAAAUGCAGGACUGGAUAGUGUUUUGCUGGACUGGAUGAGGCAUGGACAACUGGAGCAGGUCAGAGUUCUGAGCUCGUGGAGUCGCUCGGAGGACAUAAAUACAACCAAACUGGAGCUGAAACAACCGUUCACCUCUGCGCUCAGACACCUGUCGCUGCACACACUGACGCAAAGCUCACGCAGAGACCAACGCAGCAGCCACCAGGCCCAUUUGUCAUGGGACGGUGUGGUCCCUGUCAACGUUUCUCUCAGCCUGAACAAACAGUGGCAAACCAACUCCAGCAGGGGGCAGGCAUGCGCUCUGUUUACAGCCCAACAGAUGGCCGUGUCUUCUGUUAAAGGAUGUGUCUCAAUGGCACAUGAGGGGAACUCAUUUUUCCAAAAUGCAGAAUUAAGAUGGGACAGCAGGAGCCUGAAGCAAGGCAUAAAGUACCAG